GCAGUCAGCCAGCAACCGCGCGGCCCGCGACCGCCUUCUUCGCUGACUGCGACUGCGCGACUCCCGCGCCGACCGCGAAGUGAAGUGAAGUGAGAACUAUCGUGACCGCAUCAAAGUGACUACCGCAAACGUCCCGAUACAAAACAGUUCUGUACCCCGACCCACACUUCUCGGCCAGGUGUCGAAGCCGCGCUGUCGCGUGGCAGUGACAAUCUCUGAACCCUCCAGUGUUCACAAACGGACAUACACAGUGUAUAAUGUUAAUUUGGAUUUGACAAACACCGCACUGCUGCAACAAAUCUUAAUACAAUUUUACAGAUAGCGCGGCAGGGUGGCGGCGUCCAAGUAUGGCGCCGGCGGG